UGGGGAAUCUUGGACAAUGGGCGCAAGCCUGAUCCAGCCAUGCCGCGUGAGUGAAGAAGGCCUUCGGGUUGUAAAGCUCUUUUUACCAGGGACGAUAAUGACGGUACCUGGAGAAUAAGCCCCGGCAAACUUCGUGCCAGCAGCCGCGGUAAUACGAAGGGGGCUAGCGUUGUUCGGAAUUACUGGGCGUAAAGCGCACGUAGGCGGAUUGUUAAGUCAGAGGUGAAAUCCCGGAGCUCAACUUCGGAACUGCCUUUGAUACUGGCAAUCUAGAGUCCGGAAGAGGUUAGUGGAAUUCCCAGUGUAGAGGCGAAAUUCGUAGAUAUUGGGAAGAACACCAGUGGCGAAGGCGGCUAACUGGUCCGGUACUGACGCUGAGGUGCGAAAGCGUGGGGAGCAAACAGGAUUAGAUACCCCUGUAGUCCCUGAGCGGGCUGGCAAGGCGCAU
rnacentral:rRNA from 1 species